AUAUUAUCGACCUGCCAUUGUUGUACCAGUUCGCACCCGAAAAAAGAAGAAAAGUCUACAGUCUUCGUCUCCCACGCUGCUCCUUCCCCACCGAGUACUUGGCCUCCCACGCCGCCCUCCGGCCACGCUGCCGCUGCCGAGCUCUGAGCUCCUUGCCGUCGACCGGUUCUCCUCCUCCGGCGCCUCCGCGAGAUCACGUCGCCUCCCCCCGGAAGAUCCUGCCGCGUCCUCCGUCGCUCUAACCUGAGCACCACCAUGGCCGCCGUCCGCCAGCCGCCAUGGAGCUUCCUCCAGCUCGGCUAAGCCCCCAAAUCGAAACCCCACACCCCACACGAGCUCCGCAGCGCCUCAAUUGCAUCCCAAAUCAACCCUACGAAAAACCCCCAAAUCGGAUUGUGUCCACCAACUCCGGCGAGGCAUCCUUCGGUGGCGGCAACCGAGCAACGGCGCCGUGCGUCGCGCACGCGCGUCUGGCUUGAUUGGGUGGACACAAGGUGUGGUGAGGCAUCCUUCAGCGGUGCGGCUGGUGCUCGUGGUGGUCUGCGACUAGUGUGCGAUGCACCGAGGCGUGGAGGCGGAUGGUGCCGCCGCAAGCGGUGACCGCGAGCACUAAGCUCCAGGGCGCGCCGCCGUGACCUCCUCGAGACGCUAGUAGUAGUGACGCUAGUAGUACUGAAGCUUUUGCUUGAUAAUCCCAGUACCGAAACAGAACCAGCAUGAAGGUAGAAGAAAUAUCUGAUAAGUGGGGCCUACGUGGAAGCGAGGUGAGGAGGGUGGGCCUAGCUGGGCCGCUGUGGUGGAGGGAGUUGGGCCAUUAGCUCGUGCACUGGGUAGGCCUACUAAAGCUGGUGGAGUGGAACCAUACAUCACCCAAACAUGAUAGAGUAAAUUUAUUAGAGCGGAGCUAGAAUGUGGAGUGGAGUUUGUGGAGUGGAGUGCUGCAAACAAGCCCUUAAUAGUCAUUAACAGAGGAGGUUGUGUUACGUCUGCCCCCUCUAUUAAUCUAUUUACUGAGGUGGUCUCCUUAACAGAACCGCCUCAGUUAAUGUACCCUUAACUGAGCCGGUUUCCUUAUGGUGACUGCCUCAGUUAAUCUAUUAACAGAGGCGGGCUACCGGCCUGCCCGCCUCUGAGGCCUCCUCAAAACACCUCGGUUAAUCCAGAUUUGUAGUAGUACAUGGUCGGCACAACCGACCUUUAGCCUUCAACGUGGCAGCCUCACAUGGGCUCAUAAUGUCGGUUCCAGGUGAUUGCAGCUGAAUAACUGGGUGAAACACCCAUGGUCAUCCUUUAUAAAUAUGAGAGGGGGUUUCAAAUGGAGAACUUAUCCAUCAAGUGCUCAACAAGCUUUCUCGAGUUUAGAGUUGCCUUAAAAAGGUUAGGGGUAGAUGUACUCUGGAGGGGCGUCAAGUCUUCGGUGCUCUUCUCCAAUUUUUACCUCUACGAGAGUGAGGGAAUAGUUCGUGAGAAGUGCCAAGAUGUCAGCAUUCUUCUCCCAACUUGUACCUCUAUGAAUGCUGCUACAUUCUUCGAUGCUCAGUAAGCAUUCGUGGUCCCUAUCUCUAGUAUUUUAUUUGGUGUAGUAUAUGCUAGUAGUACUUGUAACUGAGUGAGAUCAGUUGUCUUAGUCGCGGGUUCAUUGCUCUGUAUUUAUACAGAGUGUUGUAGUUUGCUACAGGGUACCAAACGUAUUUAGACUAUAGUAGUAAUCUAUAGCGUAGAUAUAGUGUCUAGGCUAAAGGAUAUCCUUCGUUCGCCUUAUAUCCCACAAUUUGUUAGAGGUAGGCUGUAUGUGGUGACAGUCCUAAUGGUCCUAUGCAAUCUUCCACAUUCGGAUAUAGCGUAGAACUAUUGGCCGGAGUUGCCUGGCAGACCAGAUGUAAGCCGGUGCCCGAAUCAAGUAUAGUGUCCGAGAGAUCGAGUUUUAACUCACCUAUUAUGUUAUUGUUGGAAUUCUCACUACCCUUGCCACCUACUUUGGUGUGUCCUUGGAUCGACUAAAAUAGGAGUUAGUGUACACACGUUCCCUUGAAUUCAAUAACUCUUGGAAAACUCUGAGAUGAAAGUUACAACGAUAUCCAUGCGCUUGCGGAUUCUUCCACUAUCACUAAAAUACCCAACAAGUAUCAAGAGCAUGCCCGAGAGUCGCCUGAUUUAAUGAUGAAAAAAUAACAAUUAUAAGGAAUGUUAAUAAAAUAGCAAGAUAACACAAAAUAUCAUACCAAACCUAAUAUGUAAGUAAUAUUGUCUAUUUCCAAGACUCAUUAUCAUACCCGAUUAUUAGUUUUAGAAGUUAACACUUCAGUUUUGCUUGAUCCCAUUUAUCGUAAAAAAAAUUGCAGUAGCAUGUUUCGGUUCAUAAGCAUGUCCAUGUUUGCAUUCUGCCCUUUAAAAGACGUAUUAAUCAAAUUUGCUUUCAGAUCAUGACAUAUGUGGUAUAACAAAUGUAGCUUUUUCCAUUCAUCAGAUAUUCGACAAGUGUUAGAUCUCUAUCACUAAAUGGUCUACAAUCAGCUUCCUUGACAUCGUCUAAAUAUAAUCCAAGCAGCUCUAUAUCAGCUACUGCCAAACACAUGCCAUAGGUACAUUCUUCCGAGCCAAUAAUGUUAUAAAAUAAGUAGAUUAACACACCACUCGGGUUGCAAUCUACCAACGCAUAAUACUUUAGGGGUCUGAUAAGCAUCUUUUAACUUCCUCGGUAGGAUCCAUGUUGCCACGUCCGAAUGGCUUCUCCCUAUAAGGUCAGUCUUAGUGGGAGUGUCAUCGACACAGUUACCAAAACUGGAAACUUGAGAACUGUGCCAGUGGAGUGUCAUGGUGAUGACACUCCUCUCACAUUUCAUGACAUUCAUCUUUUCUCUCUCCUCAUACUAUUGGUACAUGUUAGCACAUUUAAUAUCCAUGACACUACUAUAACACUCCCACUGAGAUUGGCAUAACCAGAAUUGUGUCAUCUGUUUCAUGAAAUUUCUUUGCAACUAGGUCAUAGAAAAUGGUCUCCUUUUCGAUGACAAAGACGUGUUUUACUUUGUCAGGGAUCUCAAUUCUAUUCACCAAUACUAAUUCCCUAGGAAUCAGUGUUCCUGAUUCCCCACCAAACAUGCAAUCUGCGAGCUCCUCGUCAUCGACAUAUAGCUUAACUUGGCCAAGGAUCAAACCAUGGGCUGCUGGUCUUGUUUCCAAACACUCAUGAGGAAUUUUAAGUGAUUCUGAGAGAGAAGACAUAUUCUCAUAUUCUAUCUUGGACCCAGUCUUCACUCAAGUUUGGCUCAUCAAAUUCAUCAGGAUACAUAUAGUGUAACACAUUUUUCCUUAUUCUUUUAUGAUUUUCAUCCUCAAGGUAAUGCUUUGCUACUUGAGCUACUGCAAACAUUCUCCUUCCCUUGGCAGGACAAAGUUUAUAUGUCCAGAAAUUCUGCAAGCAAAGCUGCUGCAAUGUAUCAUAGUAUUCACAUGCAUCUGUUCCUCCUGCAGCCCUCUUCCCUUUAUUACCUUUACUGUGUAGGGUGAAAAAGUCCUGCUCAGCAUAUUUUCCCCACGGACAUAGUUACUCUCUUCAGAGCUUCCUUUCCACUGAUACCUUCGGCAAUAACAAAUUUUGACUUCAUCUCCUUCCUUUAAUCAACAUUAAAUCCCAAGUUCUUCAAAUAUUAGAACAGUUCUCGACCAUGUAAUCUGCAAUAGAGGACAUUUACAUAUCUUUGCUAGUGCUUAGAUAUAGAUGCUUUGUGCUCUUGUGUGUACGGCGGUUCCUUAGGUACAUAAAAGAAGCCUAGAGAGUAGUAUGAGAGCUAGAGAAAAAGUGAUGCAAGUUGUAAUUGUGAAAGCUAUAGAGUUAGUACUUGUUUCUCAUGUGCUUGUGUGAACCAACAUAGAGAUAAGAGAGAAGAACAUGGUGAGAAUCUAGUUUCCGAAAAUUGCAGCAGCUAGAAAAGAAUCUAGCUUCUAGUUUCCAAAAAAUAUGGUUCCAAAAAUCUAGUUUACAAGAAUCUAGUUUCCAAAAAUUACAGCAUCUAGUUUCUAAAAAUUCCAGCAGCUAAUUUCCAAAAUUUUCAGCAGCUAGAAAAGAAUCUAGUUUCAAAAAAAUUCUAAAUUCUAAUAAUCUAGUUUCCAAAAAAUCAAAAAAUUCAGUAUCUAGCUUCCAAAAAUUCGAGCAACUAGAAAGGAAUGCUCAAAAAAGAGUGGAACAUGAUAUUAAAGGAAAAGUGUGUAGAUAGGAAACUACAUUAUCUUGAUGUUGUCUUCAUUAUCACUUGAGAUAUUGCUAAUAGGUUAAGCAAAUGAGACUUCAUGUUAGUCAGGUAUGCCAUCGGAUUCAUCCUUGGGCUCGUCAAACAUAGACUCAAUGUGGGACCUUUCAGAAUUUUCUGAUCCAAUUUCUUCAAAGGAGCCCCUCCUGACUGUAGACUCAAUCGGGCAAAUAAUGGAGUGGCAUACCCGUCCAACUCAUCGAGGUCACAUUGCUGCUUUCUGAAGAUGAUGUGGUCAUUGACACCUUUUUGCUCGGUGUGGCUAUCAGAUUCCAGAAUACGGAUGAAAACUAUUUAUCAAGUGAAAAUGCUACAAAUGAUGUUGUAUAGAAAUUUUCUUAUAUUCGAUGUCAUUAUAUUGAAAUUUGUAGCUUUAUGAAUAAUGUAUGGCUAGUAGUAUUGUCCAGGCAUGAUAAAAUCUUUUGUAAAGAAUCACGCAAGCAUGUUCCAUUAUCAGCCAAAGUUGAGAUAUAUCUUUCUAAAUAUAUACAAAGUACUAGCAUUUACCCUUUUUUUA